GAUGAACGCUGGCGGCGUGCCUAAUACAUGCAAGUCGAGCGAACAGACGAGGAGCUUGCUCCUCUGACGUUAGCGGCGGACGGGUGAGUAACACGUGGAUAACCUACCUAUAAGACUGGGAUAACUUCGGGAAACCGGAGCUAAUACCGGAUAAUAUAUUGAACCGCAUGGUUCAAUAGUGAAAGACGGUUUUGCUGUCACUUAUAGGUGGAUCCGCGCCGCAUUAGCUAGUUGGUAAGGUAACGGCUUACCAAGGCAACGAUGCGUAGCCGACCUGAGAGGGUGAUCGGCCACACUGGAACUGAGACACGGUCCAGACUCCUACGGGAGGCAGCAGUAGGGAAUCUUCCGCAAUGGGCGAAAGCCUGGCGGAGCAACGCCGCGUGAGUGACGAAGGACUUCGGAUCGUAAAACUCUGUUAUUAGGGAAGAACAAAUGUGUAAGUAACUAUGCACGUCUUGACGGUACCUAAUCAGAAAGCCACGGCUAACUACGUG
rnacentral:rRNA from 1 species